rnacentral:rRNA from 1 species
GACGAACGCUGGCGGCGUGCUUAACACAUGCAAGUCGAACGGAAAGGCCCUGCUUUUGUGGGGUGCUCGAGUGGCGAACGGGUGAGUAACACGUGAGUAACCUGCCCUUGACUUUGGGAUAACUUCAGGAAACUGGGGCUAAUACCGGAUAGGAGCUCCUGCUGCAUGGUGGGGGUUGGAAAGUUUCGGCGGUUGGGGAUGGACUCGCGGCUUAUCAGCUUGUUGGUGGGGUAGUGGCUUACCAAGGCUUUGACGGGUAGCCGGCCUGAGAGGGUGACCGGCCACAAUGGGACUGAGAUACGGCCCAGACUCCUACGGGAGGCAGCAGUGGGGAAUAUUGCACAAUGGGCGGACGCCUGAUGCAGCAACGCCGCGUGCGGGAUGACGGCCUUCGGGUUGUAAACCGCUUUCGCCUGUGACGAAGCGUGAGUGACGGUAAUGGGUAAAGAAGCACCGGCUAACUACGUG